rnacentral:rRNA from 1 species
AUACGAAAGGUGCAAGCGUUGUUCGGAUUUACUGGGCGUAAAGAGAGUGUAGGUGGUUUAUUAAGUCGGAUGUGAAAUCCUGGGGCUCAACCUCGGAACUGCAUUCGAUACUGAUAGGCUAGAGUUUGGGAGGGGUAAGCGGAAUUCCGUGUGUAGCAGUGAAAUGCGUAGAUAUACGGAGGAACACCUGAGGCGAAGGCGGCUUACUGGACCAAUACUGACACUGAGACUCGAAAGCGUGGGUAGCAAACAGGAUUAGAUACCCGAGUAGUCC